GUCGGUCUGGUUGUACUGGAGGAUGGCCAUCCCCACGCGGAAGAUGAUCUCCAGGCCCUGGGCGAGGAAACACACAGGCUCUGUCACCCAAUACGCUCCACACUACCAGCUCAACAACCAAUCACAGCUCAGGAUCGACGUCAGAGGCCCUGUCCACUGAAGCGUCAUCGUACGGUGAACACAGAUUCAUGAGCACACCCGGAGCACGACAGCACAGCGAGAAGUACAACUUAAUGUCAGCUUGCCAGAUGCACCAAGAUGAGUUCAACCGAGUUCACCAGUGUAUCGAGACCCUCUGCUGCCCCCUGGUGGAGAACCUAUUCACCGCAAGACUCGCACAAAUUAUCUCAAUCGGGCGGCAACGUUUUACCUG